rnacentral:rRNA from 1 species
AUUAGUGCUACACAGAUUUGAAGACACUUCAAUCUAUAACUGAAGCUAAGCAGGUGUGAGCCUGGUCAGUACCUGGAUGGGAGACCUCCUGGGAAAAACUAAGGUUGCUGCUGGAA